UGUUAUCGAGGUUGGAAAGGCUCCCGACGCUCCUCUUAUGAGGAACCUGAGAUGCAGGAUACGCCGCCCUGCCGACAACA
rnacentral:ncRNA from 12 species